rnacentral:rRNA from 1 species
AAGAAGCAAGACCGUGAGGCGGAGCAAAACUCAAAAACUUGUCUCAGUUCGGAUUGUAGGCUGAAACUCGCCUACAUGAAGCUGGAGUUGCUAGUAAUCGCGAAUCAGCAUGUCGCGGUGAAUACGUUCCCGGGCCUUGUACACACCGCCCGUCACACCAUGAGAGUUGGCAAUACCCAACGUACGUGAUCUAACCCGCAAGGGAGGAAGCGUCCUAAGGUAGGGUCAGCGAUUGGGGUGAAGUCGUAACAAGGUAUC